rnacentral:rRNA from 1 species
GACGAACACUGGCGGCGUGCUUAACACAUGCAAGUCGAACGGAAAGGCCCUGCUUUUGUGGGGUGCUCGAGUGGCGAACGGGUGAGUAACACGUGAGUAACCUGCCCUUGACUUUGGGAUAACUUCAGGAAACUGGGGCUAAUACCGGAUAGGAGCUCCUGCUGCAUGGUGGGGGUUGGAAAGUUUCGGCGGGUGGGGAUGGACUCGCGGCUUAUCAGCUUGUUGGUGGGGUAGUGGCUUACCAAGGCUUUGACGGGUAGCCGGCCUGAGAGGGUGACAGGCCACAUUGGGACUGAGAUACGGCCCAGACUCCUACGGGAGGCAGCAGUGGGGAAUAUUGCACAAUGGGCGGAAGCCUGAUGCAGCAACGCCGCGUGCGGGAUGACGGCCUUCGGGUUGUAAACCGCUUUCGCCUGUGACGAAGCGUGAGUGACGGUAAUGGGUAAAGAAGCACCGGCUAACUACGUG